CCAAUAGCGUAUAUUAAAGUUGUUGCAGUUAAAAAGCUCGUAGUUGAAUUUCGGGAUCAGUACGCCGGUCGUGCCUUCGGUAUGCACUGGUGUCACUGGUUCCUCCCUUCUGAAGAACCGUCAUGCCAUUCACUUGGUGUGGCGGGAAAUCAGGACUGUUACUUUGAAAAAAUUAGAGUGUUUAAAGCAGGCUCACGCUUGAAUACAUUAGCAUGGAAUAAUGAAAUAGGACGUUGAUCUUAUUUUGUUGGUUUCUAGGAUUGACGUAAUGAUUAAUAGGGAUAGUUGGGGGCAUUAGUAUUCAAUUGUCAGAGGUGAAAUUCUUGGAUUUAUUGAAGACUAACUACUGCAAAAGCAUUUGCCAAGGAUGUUUUCAUUAAUCAAGAACGAAAGUUAGGGGAUCGAAGACGAUCAGAUACCGUCGUAGUCUUAACCAUAAACUAUGCCGACUAGGGAUCGGAUGAUGUUAAUUUUUUAAUGACUCAUUCGGCGCCUUACG
rnacentral:rRNA from 1 species